rnacentral:rRNA from 1 species
AACGAACGCUGGCGGCAGGCCUAACACAUGCAAGUCGAGCGAGGACUUCGGUCCUAGCGGCGGACGGGUGAGUAACGCGUGGGAACGUGCCCUUUGCUUCGGAAUAGCCCUGUGAAACUGGGGGUAAUACCGGAUGAGCCCUUUUGGGGAAAGAUUUAUCGUCGAAGGAUCGGCCGGCGUUGGAUUAGCUAGUUGGUGGGGUAAUGGCCCAUCAAGGCGACGAUCCGUAGCUGGUUUGAGAGGAUGAUCGGCCACACUGGGGCUGAGACACGGUCGAGACUCCUACGGGAGGCAGCAGUGGGGAAUAUUGGACAAUGGGCGCAAGCCUGAUCCAGCCAUACCGCGUGGGUGAAGAAGGCCUUCGGGUUGUAAAGCCCUUUUGUUGGGAAAGAAAAGCAGCAGGUUAAUACCCCGCUGUUCUGACGGUACCCAAAGAAUAAGCACCGGCUAACUUCGUG